rnacentral:rRNA from 1 species
UACGGGGGGGGCAAGCGUUGUUCGGAAUUACUGGGCGUAAAGGGCUCGUAGGCGGCCAACUAAGUCAGACGUGAAAUCCCUCGGCUUAACCGGGGAACUGCGUCUGAUACUGGAUGGCUCGAGUUUGGGAGAGGGAUGCGGAAUUCCAGGUGUAGCGGUGAAAUGCGUAGAUAUCGGGAGGAACACCUGCGGCGAAAGCGGCUCACUGGACCACAACUGACGCUGAGGCGCGAAAGCUAGGGGAGCAAACAGG